rnacentral:rRNA from 1 species
AUACGUAGGGAGCGAGCGUUGUCCGGAAUUACUGGGCGUAAAGGGUGCGUAGGUGGCCUAGCAAGUCAGAUGUGAAAUCCCCGGGCUUAACUCGGGGGGUGCAUUUGAAACUGCAAGGCUUGAGUGCAGGAGAGGAAAGCGGAAUUCCUAGUGUAGCGGUGAAAUGCGUAGAUAUUAGGAGGAACACCUGUGGCGAAGGCGGCUUUCUGGACUGUAACUGACACUGAGGCACGAAAGCGUGGGGAGC